rnacentral:rRNA from 1 species
UACGUAGGGUGCGAGCGUUGUCCGGAAUUAUUGGGCGUAAAGGGCUCGUAGGCGGUCUGUUGCGUCAGGAGUGAAAACUCGGGGCUUAACCCCGAGCCUGCUUCUGAUACGGGCAGACUAGAGGUAUGCAGGGGAGAACGGAAUUCCUGGUGUAGCGGUGAAAUGCGCAGAUAUCAGGAGGAACACCGGUGGCGAAGGCGGCUUUCUGGCCCGUUCUUGACGCUGAGGCGCGAAAGCUAGGGUAGCAAACGGGG